GAUGAACGCUGGCGGCGUGCCUAAUACAUGCAAGUCGAACGAAGAUCUAGCUUGCUAGAUCUUAGUGGCGAAUGGGUGAGUAAUACAUAAAUAAUCUGCCCAUAUGACUGGGAUAACUAUUGGAAACGAUAGCUAAUACCGGAUAGGUUGAUCGGAGGCAUCCCUGAUGAAUUAAAGUAGGAUUUCUACACAAAUGGAUGAGUUUAUGGCGCAUUAGUUAGUUGGUGGGGUAACGGCCUACCAAGACGAUGAUGCGUAGCCGACCUGAGAGGGUGACCGGCCACACUGGGACUGAGACACGGCCCAGACUCCUACGGGAGGCAGCAGCAGGGAAUUUUCGGCAAUGGGCGCAAGCCUGACCGAGCAACGCCGCGUGAGUGAUUAAGGCCUUCGGGUUGUAAAGCUCUGUUGUAAGGGAAGAACAUUCAGGAUAGGAAAUGAUCUUGAACUGACGGUACCUUACCAGAAAGCCACGGCUAACUACGUGCCAGCCGCCGCGGUA
rnacentral:rRNA from 1 species